GACGAACGCUGGCGGCGUGCUUAACACAUGCAAGUCGAACGGAAAGGCCCUGCUUUUGUGGGGUGCUCGAGUGGCGAACGGGUGAGUAACACGUGAGUAACCUGCCCUUGACUUUGGGAUAACUUCAGGAAACUGGGGCUAAUACCGGAUAGGAGCUCCUGCUGCAUGGUGGGGGUUGGAAAGUUUCGGCGGUUGGGGAUGGACUCGCGGCUUAUCAGCUUGUUGGUGGGGUAGUGGCUUACCGAGGCUUUGACGGGUAGCCGGCCUGAGAGGGUGACCGGCCACAUUGGGAUUGAGAUACGGCCCAGACUCCUACGGGAGGCAGCAGUGGGGAAUAUUGCACAAUGGGCGGAAGCCUGAUGCAGCAACGCCGCGUGCGGGAUGACGGCCUUCGGGUUGUAAACCGCUUUCGCCUGUGACGAAGCGUGAGUGACGGUAAUGGGUAAAGAAGCACCGGCUAACUACGUG
rnacentral:rRNA from 1 species